CAGUUGUAUAUACACUAUAAGAGCAAAAAGUGUUUAAUAAUUCUGCUACGCCUGCCUCCAGUGCAUCCUUACAGGAUACUGCGCCAACUGAGAAUCCAGCGGAUCUUCGCGCGACUAUCGUCCGAGAAGGACACACGAUCCGAUUCUAUCAAGACCAAGGUAGCGGAGUUAGAAGCCGCCAACACGCUGCUAUAGCAACCACCACCGUGCAGUGAGUUACCAUGCCUCGCGCUGUCGGAGAAGUUUGAUGGUGCCGCCGAUCGGUGCCGGGGUUUUCUGCGCCAAUGUGACAACUUCUUCAGAUGCGCCAUCUCUGUUGACGGGUAAAGCACUGGACUGGGCUUCGGCCAGAGGAUUUGAAAACAUCAGGGGCUCAGCCCGAAACAUCAGGGGCUAAAUAGGGAGAGGGGUCUUGGUGAGCCCAAGAGUUGUGAGUUGGAGGUGAAGCCAGCACUGGUGCCCAGUCUGUUCCCCUUCAGGCCUCCUACAUUAUACUUCAGUACAGCCAACGAAAAAGUGGAGCUGCUUCCUCUGGAGCAGAGGAGUCUUCUAAGAUGGAAAGUAAGCACCGUCAGCCCUAACAUUGUCAAGCAAAUGAUCAGUAGAUCCCAUUUUAAAGUCACCAAGAGUGAGUCAAUGCACUUUUAUUUUCAUUUAUUUACCUGGUUUUCUUCUUCUCCUUGUCACACUUUUUCUUGGCUAACCUCUUCCUCUGAAUACUAUCCUGAACUUCCUCAUUCCACCACCAAGUCUUCUUAUCUUCUUUCCUCCUUCCAGGUGACACACCCAGCACCUUUCUUCCUGUCUCCCUGAUCACUUCUGCUGUAGUUUCCCGGUCAUCUGGCAGCACUACCUGACCACCCAGAACCUGCCUCAACUUCUAUCUAAUUUCCUCACAACAUUGCUCCUUUUUCAGCUUCCACCACUUGAUUUUCUUCUCUAUCAUUGACCUCUUCUUCUUACAGACCAUCAAAGUCAUCCUACACACCACCAUCCUAUGCUGUCUGGCUACACUCUCUCCCACUACCACUUUACAGUCACUACAGUCUCUUUCAGAUUGCCUCUUCUACAUAGGAUGUAGUCUACUUGUGUGCUCCUACCUCCACUCUUGUAAGUCACUCUAUGCUCCUCCCUCUUCUGAAAAUAAGUGUUAACCACAGCCAUGUCCAUCCUCUUAGCAAAGUCCACUACCAUCUGUCCUUCAAGGUUUCUUUCAUUAACUCCAAACUUGCCCAUUACCUCUUCAUCACCUGUGUUCCCCUCAAAAACAUGUCCAUUAAAAUCUGCUCCUAUCACCACUCUCUCCCUCGUCGGAAUACUCUCCAUCACCUCAUCUAAUUCACUCCAGAAUCUCUCUUUCUCCUCUAACUCACAACCUAACUGUGGGGCAUAACCACUAUCAACAAUCAACAUCACCCCUUCAAUCUCUAACUUCAGACUCAUCACCCUGUCUGACACUCUCUUCACCUCCAGAACAUUCCUCACAAACUCCUCCUUCAGGACCACACCUACCCCAUUUCUCUUACUAUCCACACCAUAAUAAAACAACUUGAAUCCUGCUCCUAUACUAUGAGCCUUGCUACCUUUCCACCUGGUCUCCUGUACACACAGUAUAUCCACCAUCCUUCUCUCCAUCAUAUCAGCCAGCUCUCUACCUUUACCUGUCAUAGUACCAACAUUCAGAGUUCCUUUUCUCAGUCCUGCACUCUUACCUUUUCUCGUCUGUCUCUGUCUACGCACUCUCCUCCAUCCUCUACUUCUUCGACCAACAGUAGCCCAAUUUCCACCAGCGCCCUGUACGUCAACGGCGCGGAUGGCGGUCGUUGUUAGCCCGGGCCCCGACCAAUCCGGUAUGAAAUUCAGAGUACUGACAAUUGACUGACUGACUUUUUCCCAUGUUCCUUUGUGCUCCCACUGGAGAUAAAACUACUGAAGAAGGCCUGGAAGGAAAUGGGGAAUCAGCAAUUAUGGAUCAUGAAACCGCCUGCUUUAGCCCAAGGAAUUGGUAUUCAGAUUAUUCACAAGGGGAGUCGAUUGCCACUCACGAGACCCCGCGUUGUACAGAA